rfam:Schistosoma mattheei strain Denwood, Zambia genome assembly, scaffold: SMTD_scaffold0004196
GCACUGCUGAGGAGUCCCAAACUUGGACGAAACGGCUGUCCAGUGC